GUAGGGUUGGGGUUAGAAUUAGGGUUGGGGCCACCGCUGUCAGGGCCCCAGGUAGGGUUGGGGUCAGGGUUGGGGUUAGGGCCUUGAUUAGGGUCAGGGCCCAAAAUCAGGUUGGGGUCAGGGUUGGGGUUAGGGCCACAGGUGUGGCCAAGAUCUAAGUUAGGGUUAGGGUGUGGGCUGGGGUUGGGGUCAGGGCCUAGAUUGGGUUCAGAGUAGGGCUAGGAUGGGAAGGCCGCGCCUCCCCCGGGUGGCAUCAAGGGAAAAGGAAGCAAUACUAAUAUAAAUAUUUCAUUUAUAUGUGGGCUCCAGGACGAGAGGCAGCCAUGCAAGUGCUGUUGUCAAAAAUAAGUGCUUAAAAGACAUGCAUAAUAAAAUCCACAAAUUCACAUACACAUAUAUAAGAUCAAAAGAAAGGGAAAAAGAAAACUUUAUUCACAUGAUUAGUGAGCAAUUCAUCAAAAAGACCAUUAAAGGUAAAUCAAUUCAUUAUUGCCUCUCCCCUGGCCCCCCCAUAUAUAAAGUGCUAAUCCCCCCUCUAUCCCCCUUCACCACCAGGAGGAGCCCCACCUCCCCACCCUACCCCCUCCUUUCAUUAAGCCCCAAGGGUGCAAUUGUUCUUAACUUCAUUAUCCACACUCUUUCCCUCAUCCUCCUCUCCCCAUUGGACCACCCGGGAUUACUUUCCAAGCCUGACACCUUUAAACCAGAAACCGGAUGAAUUUGAAAAUGACUGUCCGAUACGAUGGGUCGCCCCGGCGGGACCUCCCCAGGGACCGUCCAUGCCUUCGGAUCUUUAUGGAUCUUGGAGUUCCCUAAUGGCUGCUCUCUGUACAGUAGAGAGAUUAUCUGUACGGGCUAUGGAACAGGCAUGGAUGUCCCUCCAGAGGUCCCGCCGGAUAUCCUGGUUGGGGAGAGGAAUAAAGGUUAGGCCUCUCUCCAACACUUCCACCUGUGCCUCGGAGAGCUGAAAGGUCCCCCUCCUCACCGUCCCCCACUCGGACCUCCCAGCAUGCCCCAGAAGUGGCAGGGUGGCCCCAUUGUCAGCUUUACGGCCCACCUGGCCCGGCCUACAGGGUGCUCGACUGAGCUGCAGGCGGCACGCACACGGAGGAAUUCUCAUCAGAGGUAAGUUUCAUUGUUUCUUUUUUCAGGGUUCCUGUUUCACCAUUAUGUGUUGCAGCUAUAGGGCAAGACUGCCUGGGGGUAGCAGGCCUACUAAUGGGGCCCUGUUGGCCCGCAACUACCUGGGCAUAGGUAGGUACAGUCAGAGACGGAGCAUCCAUAUCAGUCAUCUCAACUGGACUCAUAUGCAUCUGGGGACACAAGGUAGGUGAAGUAGUGCCAGGCGUCCUAGAAUGUGGUGUUGUAGUCUGGGGUGUAAGCAAUUCCAUCACUCUUUCACAGAUCAUUCUAUUAAACUUAUGUUUGUAGCGGGCCUUGGCCCAAACUAUUGCCAUAUUGAAGGCCUCCUGAUCAAAAGGGCCCAAUGACUGAGUGAUUGAGGCAAUCACUCCGUCGUAGUGCAUUUGUAAUAUUGUCAUGUUAGUGUCCAUCCAUCUCAAAGUGUUCUCCUUCACUUUGUUUUUAGUUUGCUCAGAAGGAGAGGAUGGCUUUAUGAAAUCUGUUAAUUUAUUCACUUGCCUCAUCAUACCUUUGGGAAAUGUUUUGGACUCCACUGCCUGAUUUACUAUUUGAAUGUGAUGGAUUGCUUGCAUGAGUUUGAAAUAUUCCUUUGUUGUUUGUUUGUUAAGCCUUGGAGGAACAGAAGGUGCAAGGGAGGGGAGAGAGGGAGGGGGAAGGUUCUCCUGUACAGCCUCAACAGUGUCUUCAUUCUGAAUAUUGGCCAAAGCCAUGUAUCUAUUCUUUAACAACAUUCCAAAUUUUAAUCUGAACAGUUACAGGCCUAAACACCACUGUGAUAAGAAACAGGUUUUCCCCUUUCAGGGCUCUCACCCUUCCUUUCUCCUUUCGGCUGGUGGGUACGAGAAGAAGGUUCUCUUGGCGUGCGGUCCCAGGAUGGCUUUGUGUUACUUCCGUCCGUGGCAUAAAGUUCAAGAGAGAAACCACAAGAUGGUUACCAGGGAGUGAGCAAUGCUCAGUUUAAAGUUCUCCUGCCCAGAACGGGAUCCACUGCCCCUGGGGGAAUCCAACAGGCCCCGGCCUUCAGGUCUCC